CCUACGGGAGGCAGCAGUGAGGAAUAUUGGUCAAUGGACGAGAGUCUGAACCAGCCAAGUAGCGUGAAGGAUGACUGCCCUAUGGGUUGUAAACUUCUUUUAUCUGGGAAUAAAAUCUUCCACGUGUGGGCUUUUGUAUGUACCAUAUGAAUAAGCAUCGGCUAACUCCGUGCCAGCAGCCGCGGUAAUACGGAGGAUCCGAGCGUUAUCCGGAUUUAUUGGGUUUAAAGGGGGCGUAGGUGGAUUGUUAAGUCAGUCGUUAAAGUUUGCGGCACAACCGUAAAAUAGCAGUUGAAACUGGCAGUCUUGAGUACAGUAGAGGUGGGCGGAAUUCGUGGUGUAGCGGUGAAAUGCAUAGAUAUCACGCAGAACUCCGAUUGCGAAGGCAGCACACUGG
rnacentral:rRNA from 1 species